AGCCGAGAUUGUGCCACUGCACUCCAAUC
rnacentral:piRNA from 1 species